UACGGGGGGGGCAAGCGUUGUUCGGAAUUACUGGGCGUAAAGGGCUCGUAGGCGGCCAAUUAAGUCCGACGUGAAAUCCCAAGGCUUAACCUUGGAACUGCGUCGGAUACUGGAUGGCUUGAAUUCGGGAGAGGGAUGCAGAAUUCCAGGUGUAGCGGUGAAAUGCGUAGAUAUCUGGAGGAAUACCGGUGGCGAAGGCGGCAUCCUGGACCGACAUUGACGCUGAGGAGCGAAAGCUAGGGGAGCAAACGGG
rnacentral:rRNA from 1 species